UUUUUGGACACAAUCACAAACAAGAGUCGGAAGGCUGGUGAGCACAUGAGACCAGUCAUACGCCCAUCACCGUAAGGUCCUGAUGGGCAGGCUCUAGAAGGAAGGCUGUGGGUCUCUAGCUGUGAUGCUGACUGACCCCGGGCAGAUCGCUUCCCUUCUCUGGUCAUCCAACUCCUCAUCAGUUGAAAGAGGCAGUGGCUGCCAUUGUUCUUCAUGAUGUCCUGAGCGUGGUCUUUGAAUCCAGUGCAGAGCUGUUAGCAAGACGCUUCCUGAGGAAACACAGUGAAAUGCUUUGGAAUGAGAGACUGCUGUGUCAGUGAGGGUACGCUGUAUGGAACCUCAAGAGCUCAGAGAGAAAAUGGACCACAGGAAACAUGCUGCAUACACCUGGACAGGACGUAACCAAGGAGACCAUGCAUGAAGAGCCGAGUCCUGAAACCUGCUUGCUCGGGGUGGAGCUUCCUGCUCAUUCGUUCUGCCACGCCCACUGCUGGAACCUGAGGAGCCACACACGUGCACCUUUCUACUGGACCAGAGAUUAUUCGGCGGGAAUCGGGUCCCCUCCCCCUUCCUUCAUAACUAGUGUCCCAACAAUAAAAUUUGAGCUUUGAUCAGAAUGAA
rnacentral:lncRNA from 1 species